CGAGCGUGUAGCCGGUCGUCUAACUAACCUCGGCUACGCUCCUUAGGAAUGUCAUGUGGCAAGUUACGUUUCGGGCUAGCAAGCUGUCACACACUUUCAAAGACGAAACAAAUUCGGACAGUUCGUACGAGAUUUGCGCCUGUUGAAAUCUGCAUUUUGCCGCUGCGUUGCUGGCGUGUGUGGGUUGUCAGCAUCAAUUGGAGCCAUUCAACAUCUUAUGACAGCGUUAGUUCAUCAAAAUGGAACUCAGGUUCUAUCAACGCUGCCUAUGAAUGACUCCAAUGUUUCUAACACGACACUUACCUGGUUGGCAGCCAAUGAAACCGUUGCCUUGAUAGCCAUCCACACAGCUGCAGUCGGCCGCGUGAUUCGCGUUCAUGCAGACCGCAUUUUGCGCACAGGGAUUAUGCGCAUCGCAAGGAUGCUGACAGCGUCGGUUGAUGCAAGCCUCCGUAAUGUCACAAUCGGCAUCGCGCGUACACUCAGCUACACGAAAAGGUAGUGGAAAGAGUAAUGCAUUAUUAGAAACACGCACUCAAUCGUAUAACCAAAAAUAAAAAGCGCUUUCGUUCAGUUACUUAUGCGUAUAUAUUAAAUGAAUGUAAUGAUCGUUUGCUUACUUGUCCUAUCCACGGGCGAGCAUUUAAUAGCCGGAUUACCUUCAUGCCCCUUGGGGCACGAACAUAUCGGCCGAUGCAUUUUCGCCACACACUUAGCGGUGGGCGCACAUACAUUCGCAAAUUCGCAAGGAUUAUGACAUAGACCCAUGUAACAUGCUUCGUUCUCAAUGCAAUCAUUGUUCGACUGACAUGGUUCCGGAUUCUUUGGUGAGCCGGGUGAUUCUACUUGUUAGAGGAGUUAGAGAGUAUUAAUGCGUGUAUUGUUAUGCGUUUGGGCGCGUGUAAAGCUUCACGCCUUCAAAGAUGCUCCAAAAUGCGUCCAAAAAUCGUAAUUUGGUGUAAAUACAUAUACAUAUGUAUGUAUGUAUGUAUUUAGUACCAACUGUGUUCAAACUCAAAUUGAUGACCUCGAAAGCGUCCGCUCCCGCCUAAUGAGGCGCCAUUUAACCACUGCCUCUGCUUGAAGAGCGAAGAGCAUAAUACAAUAUGACAACAAUAUCCAAAAAUGGCCGUUGGUUCGCUAUUAAGUCCACGUAGAAGCGGAGGAUCCUGUUCAGAUAUAUAGUGGUCCCCGCUAAACGUCUUUUUUGAGAGGAGCUUCUGGAGGUCAG